AUUGAACGCUGGCGGCAUGCCUUACACAUGCAAGUCGAACGGUAACGGGCCUUCGGGUGCCGACGAGUGGCGAACGGGUGAGUAAUACAUCGGAACGUGCCCGAUCGUGGGGGAUAACGAGGCGAAAGCUUUGCUAAUACCGCAUACGAUCUACGGAUGAAAGCCGGGGACCGCAAGGCCUUGCGCGGACGGAGCGGCCGAUGGCAGAUUGGGUAGUUGGUGGGAUAAAAGCUUACCAAGCCGACGAUCUGUAGCUGGUCUGAGAGGAUGAUCAGCCACACUGGGACUGAGACACGGCCCAGACGCCUACGGGAGGCAGCAGUGGGGAAUUUUGGACAAUGGGCGCAAGCCUGAUCCAGCCAUGCCGCGUGCAGGAUGAAGGCCUUCGGGUUGUAAACUGCUUUUGUACGGAACGAAAAGCCUUCUUUUAAUACAGGAGGGUCAUGACGGUACCGUAAGAAUAAGCACCGGCUAACUACGUG
rnacentral:rRNA from 1 species